rnacentral:rRNA from 1 species
UACAGAGGUCCCCAAGCGUUGUUCGGAUUCACUGGGCGUAAAGGGUGCGUAGGUGGUUAGGUAAGUCCGAUGUGAAAUCUCCAGGCUCAACCUGGAAAUGGCAUUGGAUACUAUCUAGCUUGAGGAGUGGAGGGGGACUGGAAUUCUCGGUGUAGCAGUGAAAUGCGUAGAUAUCGAGAGGAACACCAGUGGCGAAGGCGAGUCCCUGGACACUUCCUGACACUGAGGCACGAAAGCUAGGGGAGCAAACAGG